GGCCUCGUAGCUCAGUUGGCUAGAGCGUUGGCUGUACUAAAACCUUCCUCUUGCUGGCGCGUGGGUUCGAAUCCCACCAAGGCCA
rnacentral:tRNA from 1 species